UACGGAGGGAGCUAGCGUUGUUCGGAAAUACUGGGCGUAAAGCGCACGUAGGCGGCGCAGCAAGUCAGGGGUGAAAGCCCCGGGCUCAACUCGGGAACUGCGCUUGAUACUGUCGAGCUAGAGUGUGGAAGGGGCGAUUGGAAUUCCGUGUGUAGCGGUGAAAUGCGUAGAUAUACGGAGGAACACCAGAGGCGAAGGCGGAUCGCUGGGCCAACGCUGACGCUGAGACGCGAAAGCUAGGGUAGCAAACGGG
rnacentral:rRNA from 1 species